ANCGCNGCUACCAUGCAGUCGAACGGUCCUUCGGGAUAGUGGCGGACGGGUGAGUAACACGUGGGAGCGUACCCUUAGGUUCGGAACAACACAGGGAAACUUGUGCUAAUACCGGAUGAGCCCUUCGGGGGAAAGAUUUAUCGCCUUUGGAGCGGCCCGCGUCUGAUUAGCUAGUUGGUGAGGUAAUGGCUCACCAAGGCGACGAUCAGUAGCUGGUCUGAGAGGAUGGCCAGCCACACUGGGACUGAGACACGGCCCAGACUCCUACGGGAGGCAGCAGUGGGGAAUCUUGCGCAAUGGGCGAAAGCCUGACGCAGCCAUGCCGCGUGGAUGAUGAAGGUCUUAGGAUUGUAAAAUCCUUUCACCGGGGACGAUAAUGACGGUACCCGGAGAAGAAGCCCCGGCUAACUUCGUGCCAGCAGCCGCGGUAAUACGAAGGGGGCUAGCGUUGCUCGGAAUUACUGGGCGUAAAGGGCGCGUAGGCGGACAGUUAAGUUGGGGGUGAAAGCCCGGGGCUCAACCUCGGAAUUGCCUUCAAUACUGGCUGUCUUGAGUACGGGAGAGGUGAGUGGAACUCCGAGUGUAGAGGUGAAAUUCGUAGAUAUUCGGAAGAACCACCCAGUGGCGAAGGCGGCUCCACUGGCCCGUUANCURACGCUGAGGCGCGAAAGCAGUGGGGAGCAAACAGGAUUAGAUACCCUGGUAGUCCACGCCGUAAACGAUGAGUGCUAGUUGUCGGCAUGCAUGCAUGUCGGUGACGCANCUAACGCAUUAAGCACUCCGCCUGGGGAGUACNGUCGCAAG
rnacentral:rRNA from 1 species